rnacentral:misc_RNA from 1 species
UUAAGUUCAGCGGGUAGUCCUACCUGAUUUGAGGUCAAAUUUGUCAUUCAACAAGCCAUCAUUAGAAGCAGCACAAUCUGUUCAUGCAGAAUACCAAAGGCAUAGAUAAUUUAUCACACCUGAUAGUAGUAGCUCUGCUCAGAUACCACUAAUGCAUUUCAGGGGAGCUGACCUCAUUGAAAAGGGCCUGCAAAAAGAAU